rnacentral:lncRNA from 1 species
GAAAAGUUAAAAAUAGAUGGAGCUAUACUUUUUCUAGAUUUCUCCAAAGCCUUUGAUUCCCUAGAGUGGGAAUUCAUGUAUCAAUCACUAACAAAAUUUGGUAUUGAAAAUUCUAUGUUAAGAUGGGUCAAAACCUUGUAUGCAGAUAUCAAGGCAUGUAUCUCUAAUAAUGGAUGGAUUUCAAGCCCACUGAAUAUUUUUAGAGGAAUUCGACAAGGAUGUCCUUUAAGCGCCAUUUUAUUUGUCUUUGCAGUCGAAAUAUUAGCCUGUAGAAUAAGAAACGACAAUAAUCUUAAGGGAAUAAAUAUAAAGUUAGAUGGAAAAACGCACAGCCUUAUAAUAAGCCAGUUAGCUGAUGAUACUACAUUGUUUCUCUGCUCUAAAGACGAAAUCUCUCAGUCACUUAAU